GACGGGGAGCACCACAACAGGUGGAGCCUGCGGUUUAAUCGGACUCAACGCCGGAAAUCUCACCGGAUAAGACAGCUGGAUGAUAGCCGGGCUGAAGACUCUGCUUGACUAGCUGAGAGGAGGUGCAUGGCCGUCGUCAGUUCGUACUGUGAAGCAUCCUGUUAAGUCAGGCAACGAGCGAGACCCACGCCAACAGUUGCCAGCAUGUCCUCCGGGAUGAUGGGGACACUGUUGGGACCGCCUCUGCUAAAGAGGAGGAAGGAAUGGGCAACGGUAGGUCAGCAUGCCCCGAAUUAUCCGGGCUACACGCGGGCUACAAUGGUCAGGACAAUGGGUAUCAACACCGAAAGGUGAAGGCAAUCUCCUAAACCUGUCCUUAGUUCGGAUUGUGGGCUGCAACUCGCCCACAUGAAGCUGGAAUCUGUAGUAGUCGCGUCUCAACAUGGCGCGGUGAAUAUGUCCCUGCUCCUU
rnacentral:rRNA from 1 species